rnacentral:lncRNA from 1 species
UUGAGAAGGGAAGCUUAUUGGCUAAGCCCUCCUGGCCUCUAGGUACCUCAUGGAGCCUGUUCUGGGCCAAUGUAACCUAGGACACAUUUUUUUUUUUUUUUUUUUUUGAUGUGAGAAGCAUGGCAAGUGUUCCAAGUCAGGAGUUUUGCAGGAAGCUGGAAGAUGGUUAAGCCUCAGGUGUGUGCCCACUGAGUCUCCUGGUCUUGACCUGCUCUAUGUUACCAAACUUCCUGGAAUGGUUUUAUGUCCUACAAAUAAGAGAGCAGCAUGAUGGACUUUUUACUUGUCAAGCAAAAGAUUUUCUCUUCCUUUCCAGUCAAGCCAUCCUGGAAGCACUCAUAUUCUACCCUAUUUCCCAAAUCUCUUCAAUGACUUCUUAAAUUGGCCGUGGAUGGGAAUUCAAUGUCCAGAAGCUUCCAUUUUUACAAUAUGAACAGAAAUGUCAGAGAAUUAAAUGAAGCCACAGAAGGAAGCAGGUUCAGAUGUAAAACAAAGACGAGAGGCCCAACAUGGUCCCUUGAGAAUGAGUUCAGUCACACUUCAAGCUCCAUUCACCACUGCAUAUUCCAUCUUCCUGUGCACUAACUUCUUUCAUUUUCUUGGGUUGUUUCUUUUGUUUGUUUGUUUGUUUGUUUGUUUGUUUUAUCUGAUGUCGGUUUUCAUGUAUCUCAGACUGGCUUUGAAUUUGCUGUGGUAGGGAUGAAAACCUUGAGUUCCUGAUCCUCCUGUGUCUACUUUCUUUUUUUUUUUUCCUUUUUUUUAUUAGGUAUUUUCCUCAUUUACAUUUUCAAUGCUAUCCCAAAGGUCCCCCAUACCCACCCCCCCAAUCCCCUACCCACCCACUCCCCCUUUUUGGCCCUGGCAUUCCCCUGUACUGGGGCAUAUAAAGUUUGCAAGUCCAAUGGGCCUCUCUUUGCAGUGAUGGCUGUGUCUACUUUCUAACGGAUGAAGUUAUACACAUACUCUACCACAUUUGGCUGUUUCAUCAUUUGGAAAAGCUAUUUUGAGUUGGUUCUUGCAUAAUCAACAGUGUUAAUUAGACAGUUACAGCUUAAAGAUAAGCAGAUAACUAAAUGUAUAAGCUACUGAUUAUUAGACUUCCCUGAGAAGGAAUUGUUGAAAGUCUAUAACUUGGUCAUAAUAGAAUAAAAUGGCCUUCAAGUCAGCUCCCCAGGUGACUACAGACCUUGAGGAGAUAAGAGCAAACAUGAAAUGAUCAUUUUAUAGGAAAAUAAAAUGAAAACAUAGUAAGGGAAAAAUAUAGGUAAUUAGUCUUUAGUCUUUUUUUUUAUUACGUAUUUUCCUCAUUUACAUUUCCAAUGCUAUCCCCAAAAUCCCCCAUAUCCUCCCCCCCCACUCCCCUACUCACCCACUCCCACUUUUUGGCCCUGGCGUUCCCCUGUACUGGGGCAUAUAAGAAUGUAAUUUCUUAUGUUCAUCCUUAACAAGUCAUAUGGCAAUGGAACUGGGAUGAGUGCACAUGUGUGUUGUUUGUUUGUUUAUUUAUUUAUUUAUUUAUUUAUUUAUUUAUUUUGGUUUGGUGUUUGUGUAUGCAUAUGCACAUUUGCAUUUGCACAAUCAGCAAACAAGCAAGGGUGAGUACACAUGUAUGUGGAGUUUAGAGGGUUUUCAUCAACAGGUGCCUUUGUCAGUCACUAUCCUAUUUAUUUAUUUAUUUAUUUAUUUAUUUAUUUAUUUUGAGAAAGAAUAGGGUUUCUCAUUGAACCCAGAGGGCUUCAACUUACCUGUGCUAACUGGUUAGCAAGCUCUAAAGAUCAUUUUGUCUCAAUCUUCCCCUGGCUGGAUUUCAGGGGCUUCACUGCAAUCUGUAGGCUUUUAAAUGGUUUCUAGGCAUCAGACCUCAUGUGUUCUUGCUUUUGUGGCAAGUAUUUCAUUGACGGUCCAUCUCUUGCUUUUCUAUGUAAAAGCUGAAACAAUGCUCUGAGCAUAAUGAUCUACCACUGUCAUCCCAAAUAGCAUGGACACACAGUCAAGGGAAAUGCUGUAUGUAAUGCUAGUCUUUUUCUAUACAGAAUGCUCCGAAUUAGCAAGAGAUAAUGGAGGAGCUUUGUUUCACAACAAACAACAAAACACCUCCACCACCAUCAUCAAAAUGCUGAUCCAUAGCAAUGAAUAUUUUUAGUAUUUUUACUCCAGUAAGGACCCCAAAAAAGUGGGAUACAUAGUAAAUGAUAAGUCCUAGUUAUCCGAAGUUCCAUGUAUGUGUCUGGGUAUAGUGACGAUCAGCCGUAACCUCAACAUUUUGGAAGCAGAAGCAGGCAGAUGAAUUAAAGACAGUCUGAACUGUGGUGAGUUCCAGACCAACCAGGGCUGCAUUGCUGUCUCAAAAAAAAAAAAAAAAAAAAAAAAAAAAAAAAAAAAAAAACAAGUGGUGUGUCUCAUCCCUAUCAGUUUUCAUUUGGUGGUACAUACACUUGUGACAUAUGUCUUUGAACAUGCUGCUUGUACUUUUUCAGGUCUGUUCUUGUACACUGGAUUCUGUUGUGAUUUAAUAAUGUACCUCGGUCAACCACUGCUAAAGCACCAAAAGUUCAAAGUUCAAAAUUUGCUUACAUGAAGCUCAAAUCUAAUAUUUUACCUGAAGUGUACAAAGGGAUAUUUUCCUUUCUGAUUAUGAAUUGAUUCAGUUAACAUUACUUUUUACUAAAAGCCCGGUUUUAUGAGUCUCUUGACAGAUUAUCUAACCCAGGUGGUCAGCCCUAAACACAGGCAAUAUAAAAUGGGCUUGUUAGUUACAGACAGACAGACAGACAGACAGACACACAAAGAGAGAGAGAGAGACAGAGACAGACAGAGAGAGAGAGAGAGAGAGAGAGAGAGGCAGAGACAGAGACAGAGACAGAAACAGAGAAACUGAGAGGCAGAGAGAAGCAGAGAGAGAGAGACACAGACAAAGAGAAAGAGAGAGAUUACACACAUAUGUGUAUACGUAACAAUAAUAAUUAUAGAAGACGAGGUCAUGAACUUUAGGGAGAGUCAGGGAACAAGGAAAAUGUUGGAAGGAAGUGAAGAGGAUGAAAAUGAUGCAAAUAUGUGAAAUUCUCAAGAGGGUAAAAAAUUGGAAUGCCAAAUAAUCAUCCUUUCUUUAAAAUUUCCAAACUUUUCCUUCUGAAUUAACUUUGUGUACUUUAAUAUAGAGAAUCGUGGUAUUAUAUGUUUACCUUUUGCAUAAUCAAAACAUUAGGCAUUUCUCUGUUUCAUCCUUCUUAGUAGAUCAAAGGAGAAUGUCCACAACAGUGGUUGAUAUCCAUGGUUUAUUGAAAAUUCAAGUUAUAAUUUUAAGUUCACCUUGUAAGAUAUUUUAGAAGCUUGCUUCUCUGAUCGAUGUCUCCAAUCUUUAACUUCCUAUCCACAUUGAAAUUGUAUAGGCAAAUAUGAUGCCAAUUUUGUAGUGAAAUUAUUCUUCACUAUAUAUUCUACAAUUUCAAUCGGGAGUCAUUCAGAUCACAUCUUAUAACUUCUCCCUGCAAAACAUAUAUGUAAACCAAGAAAAAUGAGUUCCAAUCAAUUUUCUUCUUUUUAUUUUAAAGGAAUCUUAUAUUAUACACACUAGUUCUUCAUUUAUAGUAUCUAGCCUCCCUCAUGUUUCUCCAUUUCAAUUCAUCUCACACGUUCCCCUCUUAAAUUCAGGACUUUGUCUUUGAUAUUGUUGCAUGUAUUCUUCCCUUAUACAAUGCUUUCCAUGACUUCCUCCAAAAUUCAUCAAUUUGUUAUUGUUAUUUGUAUAACAUAAGUUUUUAUGUACUUGUACCCAGGGCUGACUAUUUGGUAUUGAGCAACCUGUUCAGGAGCUUGAUUUUAUAGAAACUGAUACUCCUUCACUCAGUGGCCAUUGGCCACCUGUCACUCUUCAUCUAUGGAUGAGGACAUGUGGAAUAUUGUCUAUCUAGUCUAAUUUCUGAAGGAGAGAACAGCAAGAAUCUUUUGUGAACCUUAAUUCAUCCAAUCACGAUUGACUUAGUAUAUCCGCUCCAGCUGUGAUAACCUAACUGGCCAUAAAUUUAUCAUUUCCCUUGCUGUCAAGCAGGAAAUCAGAAUAAAAGAAGCUUCAGCUAUAUCUUAUAAGAAGAUUCUUACGACUGUUAUACUCCAAGAAGAGGAACAAAUGAGGUGAGUCCAGCGAAUGGUAUUGUGUGCUGCCUGGUACAACAUUUUACCCCCAUGCUGAGUUUGGAAGAUAACUACUUUGACAGGAGAGAGAUCACCCUUCUAGGACACCUAGAAACCACACACACAGUCAUUCUCUUUAUCUGCUUCACUCUCUUGAUCUCAGUCCCUCUUUCUUUCUCACUCUCAUUCUCUCUCUAGAUUUUUCUCUCCAGCUCUUUCUGUCUCUCU